AGAGUUUGAUCAUGGCUCAGAACGAACGCUGGCGGCGUGCUUAACACAUGCAAGUCGAACGCGAAAGUUUUCUUCGGAAGAUGAGUAGAGUGGCGCACGGGUGAGUAACGCGUAAGUAAUCUACCCUGGUAUCUGGGAUAACCCACCGAAAGGUGUGCUAAUACCGGAUACGCUGGAGACAGGAAAGGUGGCCUCUUCAUGAAAGCUACUGUACCAGGAGGAGCUUGCGUACCAUUAGCUAGUUGGUAGGGUAAAGGCCUACCAAGGCGACGAUGGUUAGCGGGUCUGAGAGGAUGAUCCGCCACACUGGAACUGGAACACGGACCAGACUCCUACGGGAGGCAGCAGUGAGGAAUAUUGCGCAAUGGGGGAAACCCUGACGCAGCGACGCCGCGUGGAUGAUGAAGGCCUUCGGGUCGUAAAAUCCUGUCAGAUGGAAAGAAGUGUACGGUGGUUAAUAUCCAUUGUAUUUGACGGUACCAUCAAAGGAAGCACCGGCUAACUCCGUGCCAGCAGCCGCGGUAAUACGGAGGGUGCAAGCGUUGUUCGGAAUUACUGGGCGUAAAGCGCGCGUAGGCGGCUAUUUAAGUCAGAUGUGAAAGUCCACGGCUCAACCGUGGAAGUGCAUUUGAAACUGGGUGGCUUGAGUACUGGAGGGGGUGGUGGAAUUCCCGGUGUAGAGGUGAAAUUCGUAGAUAUCGGGAGGAAUACCGGUGGCGAAGGCGACCACCUGGCCAGAUACUGACGCUGAGGUGCGAAAGCGUGGGGAGCAAACAGGAUUAGAUACCCUAGUAGUCC
rnacentral:rRNA from 1 species